rnacentral:rRNA from 1 species
CCUACGGGUGACAGCAGUGGGGAAUAUUGCACAAUGGGGGAAACCCUGAUGCAGCGACGCCGCGUGAAGGAAGAAGUAUUUCGGUAUGUAAACUUCUAUCAGCAGGGAAGAAAAUGACGGUACCUGAGUAAGAAGCCCCGGCUAACUACGUGCCAGCAGCCGCGGUAAUACGUAGGGGGCAAGCGUUAUCCGGAUUUACUGGGUGUAAAGGGAGCGUAGACGGCAGUGCAAGUCUGGAGUGAAAGGCGGGGGCUCAACCCCCGGACUGCUCUGGAAACUGUACGGCUGGAGUGCAGGAGAGGUAAGUGGAAUUCCUAGUGUAGCGGUGAAAUGCGUAGAUAUUAGGAGGAACACCAGUGGCGAAGGCGGCUUACUGGACUGUAACUGACGUUGAGGCUCGAAAGCGUGGGGAGCAAACAGGAUUAGAUACCCUUGUAGUC